rnacentral:rRNA from 1 species
UUGGUGCUUGCACCGAGCGGAUGAGUUGCGAACGGGUGAGUAACGCGUAGGUAACCUGCCUGGUAGCGGGGGAUAACUAUUGGAAACGAUAGCUAAUACCGCAUGACAACAGUUAUUGCAUGAUAACUGUUUAAAAGGGGCAAUUGCUCCACUACCAGAUGGACCUGCGUUGUAUUAGCUAGUUGGUGAGGUAACGGCUCACCAAGGCGACGAUACAUAGCCGACCUGAGAGGGUGAUCGGCCACACUGGGACUGAGACACGGCCCAGACUCCUACGGGAGGCAGCAGUAGGGAAUCUUCGGCAAUGGACGGAAGUCUGACCGAGCAACGCCGCGUGAGUGAAGAAGGUUUUCGGAUCGUAAAGCUCUGUUGUAAGAGAAGAACGAGUGUGAGAGUGGAAAGUUCACACUGUGACGGUAUCUUACCAGAAAGGGACGGCUAACUACGUGCCAGCAGCCGCGGUAAUACGUAGGUCCCGAGCGUUAUCCGGAUUUAUUGGGCGUAAAGCGAGCGCAGGCGGUUAGAUAAGUCUGAAGUUAAAGGCUGUGGCUUAACCAUAGUACGCUUUGGAAACUGUUUAACUUGAGUGCAAGAGGGGAGAGUGGAAUUCCAUGUGUAGCGGUGAAAUGCGUAGAUAUAUGGAGGAACACCGGUGGCGAAAGCGGCUCUCUGGCUUGUAACUGA